CAGGGUAUUGAAGCAGAGGGAGCGGUCAGGGCAGCAGGGCUCAAGUCCUUCAGAAUCACGCAUCGAAAGGAAGAAGAGGAGCGCAUCCAAACGAACGAAUAAAAAGCAUAGACGAAGGACGUUGAAACAUACGUAUUUACCUGGACGGGAACUCGGAAUCUCAUUUAGGACCCUUUUUUCAGACCAAAAAUCACAUUGAUCACGUGAAAUUUGGAAAGGGGCCGCGCGAACGCUGGCCCCACUACCACAAAUUAUGACGUAUUAUGACGCAGGCUAAACCUCUUGGGCUGACCUUAGGCAGGCACCCCCAAAGUGCAAUGAGGUCACCAACGUAGGCCAUGGGCCUUGUUGAUCGCCCAGGUCUGAAAAGGGUACAAAAUGAACUUCGAAUUUGUACCCGCCAGUCCAUUUUUGAGGAUUGGAGAGGAAACAAAUCCAUCUAUAAAGAUCUGGUCUGAGUGGUCUGGAUUGUGAGGUCAAUUUCCUGGGUAAUGGUAUUUGACGAGUCCUUUAAGGGCUACAUCUGCUUCUUCGCUUUUCAUGAGUUCUUCUGCAACCUCUGCUGGGGUAACCUCCACCUCCGUUAUGAGCUUCUCAAUUUCAGUAAACAAGGAGUGAUCGGUUAAGCCAAGGUAGUUGCACGCAAGGAUCUUAAACCCGCUUGGAGUGCAGUAGGACAUGUGGAUGUGCAUGUCCAUGCGACCUGGUCUGAGCAAUGCAGGGUCAAGUCUGUCUUUGUGAUUCGUGGUAAAUACGAUUAUCCUCUCGUCACCACAACAUGACCAGAGCCCAUCGAUGAAAUUAAGUAGCCCGGAGAGUGUUAACUGUCAAUGAGGAAGAGAUACAUCAUUGAGGAAGAAAGAAGUAGGUCUACGCAAACCCAAGGAGAGGGAGAAGUUUUUGGAACAGAUUGCUCAUCUAUUUGGAAACAAACCAGAUGAAAUGGAUUCAAUACCAAACAAGUGAACGCUGAAUUUUGAUUCAUCAUCUACAUUGAAAUGGGAGUGAACCUGAAAACUCACCUGGCUGUCACCUUGGUCAUAGCCUCCAGCUUCUCGGUUCUUAAAGUCGCUGCUGCAAUCAAUAUCCUCAAUCACAAUAAUUGAUCGGUUCGCAGUGGAGACUAGAAGCCUCCUAAGCUCUGAAUUGCUCUGGAGACUUGUGAGCUCCAAGUCAUAAAUGUCGAAUUUCAGAUAAUUAGCCAUGGCAGCAAUCAAGCUGGACUUACCCGUGCCCGGGGGCCCAUAUAGCAAGUAUCCUCGUUUCCACGCCUUCCCCACUCUCUUGUAAAACUUUCUUCUCUUGACGAACCUGUCCAAGUCAUCCAUAAGCUCCUUCUUGAGUGUUGGAUCCAUUGCCAAGGUGUCAAAAGUGGAUGGAUGGUCAAGAUUAACAUUCUCAUGGUAGUGUCCAAGUGGCUGGAGCUUCAAUACUUUAUCUUCUUCUUUUAUGGUUUUUGACAUCUCCAGUACACAAGGCAAGUAAGAGCUCAGUACCUUCUCCUUGUACUUCUUGUGGAAGCUGAGCUCAAUCGAUCUACGCUCCACCUUUUCAGAAUUGAGGUAGCCAUCAUAGUCGCUGGUUGUCUUUUGGGUCUCAGUGCAUAUCAUUUGCCAAAUGACUUCAAUAUCUUCAAAAGUAUCGAUAAUCUUUUCGCCUUUAUUGAUGGUGAUGGAAAAUGUCCUAUCAUGCGGUGCUUUGGAUACCUUUAGCCUCAAAACCGAAGGGCUUAUUUUUGUCCGCAAGUAGAUUUCUGAAGCCUCGAACAUUUCGUUGAUGGAGAGCCCAUUGUUCUCAUCAAUGACAAGAGUCAUUUGAGAUGAAGAGUUUCCCAUUAGGCCUCCUAAUUUGGCUGAGAUUUUCUCUCGGAGUUGUUGGGGAAUGAGCUGGCUGGUUAGGUUUUGGACUUCAUUGAGAACUGUCUUAACCAGCAUUGCUGAUGCAGCAAACGUGGUAUAUGUUGACAAAACUGAUGUUGUUGAAGGCAUGUUUGAUACAGAAAACAUGGCUCCAACUUUGUGGAAAGAAAGCUUGUUUUUA